ACUCCUGAGCAGCAUGACACUUGUGGUAGUCACGAGUAGGCAGCUUGGCGCACAAGUCGCAUAACUGUAAUUCACACCUGGACAUCGACAGUUAUUGACCAAGAGGAUAGAUAUAUAGAACAGUGCUUUGAGUGGUUACUACGGCUGCGUGCGCUACUCAAGGUCACGUUCGCUUAGAAACAAAUUAAAUUAAUUUAAAUUCAAAAGUCGAGACAAAAAAAGAAAAAGAGAACACACAUUUAUACGGUGGUGCAUAUACAUUAAGAAUCAUAUAUGUAUAUAUGAAAUCGGGAUAUAUGUUGUGAAAAUGCUGGCGGCGCAAGAGAAUCGUUUUCAAUAUGUUUACUUUACGCUCUCGGGUCUCGUGGCAUGCACCAUGCUAAUACUAUUCUAUAUCUCCAUGCGCACAACAAUUAACGAACGCCUGCGCGAUGAUCUCAAGCUGCUGCAGCGACAACUCAUCUAUGAGAAACCGAAUCCACAUUGGAACUACAACAACAGCUGGCGACGCAUUGGCAACACAACUUUGAGGCAUGAGAUAUUCUCAGCCUACUUCGAUGUGCGCACUGAUAUUAUACGCAAUGUGCAGCUGGAUGAGCAACUGUUGACUGUGGGAUCCCUGCGCAUCUUUGCCAUCCUGCCAGAGCGAUUGCGCGACUCGAGAGUGAGUUGCAUAGUUCGCUAUGCGGACUUUUCGAGCCACGAGAUUGUAGCCGAGGAAGCAGGCGCAAUGCACGAUGUGCACAACAAUAGCUUUGCGGCCUGGAGCAUCAUGUGUCCGCUGCACGUGAAGAAAAAUUCGGUGCUGCGGCUGCCACAAGUUGUGGCACUCAGCUAUGCCUCCAAUCGACUGAGUCAUCUAAGUCCGAGUUUUAUACAGAUUAGUUAUCCACGCAACAUGACGGAGAUGUUUGGCAAAUCUCGCGCCACGAUUUCCGUGUGCGUCGGUCCGCUGCAGGAGAACUACUCGAAUGUGCUGCGACUCGUGGAGUUUGUUGAAAUGUAUCGCCUGCAAGGCGCCACACACUUUUACUUCUACUACGUGGAGGCCAGCGACGAAGUGCGUCGCGUGCUCGAUCACUAUCAACGUCUGGGAUUGGCGGAUGUCUUCGAAUGGAAUGUCCAAGCGCAUCUGCACGAUGUGCACUACGCUGGGAUUGUGGCGCAGUUCAACGAUUGCGUCUAUCGCGCCAACGUUGUAGACAAUCAUCGCUAUGCGGCUGUUGUGGAUUUGGAUGAAGUGCUCAUGCCGCUGAAGCACAACUCACUAGCUGACUAUCUGAGGCAAUGCGACGAGGGACGCACCUCGGGCUUUGUGUUUCGCAAUGUGUUCUUCUAUCGUCGCGAUAGUAACGAUACUUUCAAUGCUCCCGGACACACGUUGAAUCGUUUGCUUUACACGCAAUCGAAAGUGCGCCGGACACUCGAAGUGAUGCCCGCUUACAUGCGCAGCAAAGUGGUUGUCAAUGCUCGAGCGAUUGUGGAGAUGGGCAAUCAUCAGGUGUAUCGCUCGGCGCCGGGAUUCGUGGAUCACAUUGUGCACCAGACGGUGGGACUGUUGUUUCACUAUCGUGACAAGUGCAUCAAUUGCAAAAUGGUGCUGAUUGUGGACUAUACGGCGCGACGUUUUGGCUCGCUGCUGUUCGAUCGUGUGGAUGCCACAUGUCUGGAGGUCUUCAUGGAGCGGCGUGGCAUCUGCGCGCUGGCGUAGCCGCCGCUCAUCUGGCGAUGAUUGGCUUUGUCGCUCUUAUCGCCGCGCAAAAGAAACGCCCAUCAAAUUGCUGUUCGAACAUGAAGUCGAGAUUGUUUGGCCGUCGAAUCAGUCUUGUGGUGUCGCUUGUUGCCUUCACACACAUAUAUUUUGUACCAUAUUCAAUGCUAAAGUUCUGUUCGCUGCGUCGUGGGGCAAAGCCCAAGCCGGAGGCGCCACCGUUGCCCGCCAAACGUGUGUCCAAAAGUUCGUCGCUGCGGCUGCAGGAUGUCCAUUUGAGCGAUGCACAGCUAUUAAAUGUGCUCAAGGCUCAGCGUGCACGCGGUCCUUUAAUAUUGGCACUCAGCAGCCCAACUGCUAUAACAACAGCCAUACCGGAAGCGGAAGCUUGCCAUCACUGCGGCACGCCAUACUUAAAACGCAAGAGCCAAGCACUUCAAAAUGGCGAC